UACGUAGGUGGCAAGCGUUGUCCGGAUUUACUGGGCGUAAAGGGCGCGUAGGCGGCCUUCUAAGUCGUGCGUGAAAUCCCUCGGCUUAACCGAGGAACUGCGUUCGAUACUGGAAGGCUUGAAUCCGGGAGAGGGAUGUGGAAUUCCAGGUGUAGCGGUGAAAUGCGUAGAUAUCUGGAGGAACACCGGUGGCGAAGGCGGCAUCCUGGACCGGCAUUGACGCUGAGGCGCGAAAGCUAGGGGAGCAAACGGG
rnacentral:rRNA from 1 species